rnacentral:rRNA from 1 species
UACGUAGGGUGCAAGCGUUAAUCGGAAUUACUGGGCGUAAAGCGUGCGCAGGCGGUUUUGUAAGUCUGACGUGAAAUCCCCGGGCUCAACCUGGGAAUUGCGUAGGAGACUGCAAGGCUAGAAUCUGGCAGAGGGGGGUAGAAUUCCACGUGUAGGAGUGAAAUGCGUAGAGAUGUGGAGGAACACCGAUGGCGAAGGCAGCCCCCUGGGUCAAGAUUGACGCUCAUGCACGAAAGCGUGGGGAGCAAACAGG